ANAGUUUGAUCCUGGNUCANAACGAACGCUGGCGGNNNGNCUAACACAUGCAAGUCNAGCGCAGUCCUUCNGGACCGANCGGCGGACGGGUUAGUAACGCGUGGGAAUGUACCCUUCUCUAANGAAUANCCUCGGGAAACUGAGAGUAAUACCUUAUACGCCCUUUGGGGGAAAGAUUUAUCGGANAAGGAUCAGCCCGCGUUAGAUUAGAUAGUUGGUGGGGUAAUGGCCUACCAAGUCUACNAUCUAUAGCUGGUUUUAGAGGAUGAUCAGCAACACUGGGACUGANACACGGNCCANACUCCUACNGGAGGCANCAGNGGGGAAUCUUANACNAUGGGCGCAAGCCUGAUCUAGCCAUGCCGCGUGAGUGAUGAAGGCCUUAGGGUCGUAAAGCUCUUUCGCCAGGGAUGAUAAUGACAGUACCUGGUAAAGAAACCCCGGCUAACUCCGUGCCNGCAGCCGCGGUAAU
rnacentral:rRNA from 1 species